ACCCGGGAAGAAAUCCUACAGCUCUCUCUCUCUCUCUCUCUCUCUCUCUCUCUCUCUCUCUCUCUCUUUCAGAACUGUGACACUAGACAGAAGAGUGGCCGAUGGAAUGAGAAAGGGUAUCACUGGAUCCGCAGAGAAUUCAGAGACUGUGGAGGCAGGAGACUGGAAAACGUCCAUGGAUGAAAGGGGAUUUUUAAUCGAGCACAAAAUGUGCCUUUGAAGAAACAGCAGACUCUCUUGACAUUACACAACUCAGCGAAACAAAAUGACAGCCAUCUUUAAAGUCAAAACAGCCAUCAAACUAUAAGCCACACACAUAGCACCGAGGUCAACCUUACACUGCAGGGGAUGCACAGGCCGAAAGAGAACAAAAUCAUCCAGGGCCCUGGCAACGACACUCCGUUCCAGCAACUCAGAAUUCUGAAGUGAACAUUUAUGUGGCAGAUGCUUUUCCUAAAAAAACACUGUAUCAUCCAAUAAAUAUUUGACUAAAACCCAUUUUGUGCUUUUGGGUGACGUUAACUGACUUCCUUCUGAGACCUAAUAAGAAACAAGAAAGUGCUGGAGCAGGAUUCGUCACAGCGAGCCUCAGUAUUGUCAUAAAAAUUUAAUUUUAAGCAGAAAACAUGCUGAUGUGUCAGUAAUAGGUUUAAAAUAUUAAAGACUUCAAAAAACCCCAAGCACUCCUCUGAACAGCAUUUGGUGAAUAUAUAUCUUUGCUAUAUAAUUUUAAAACAUGGAAUAGUUUUCCUUUUUUUCUCUUUUCUAUAUAUAAUAUAUGUCUUCCAAAAUACAUUGUCAGUAUUUAUAUCUGAAAAAUACUGUACAAAAAAGAACUUCCUAUAAUUACUCUGUAUAAACAUUAAACAAUUUAAUAAUCUCUCCUUUUGGUCUAUAGUAAACAUUUAAAU
rnacentral:lncRNA from 1 species